AUACGCGCAAUUGUUUUAGUCGGUCCACAAGUGGUAAAGAAGAAGAAGAACGCCUACAAGCACACCGGAAAAACUACAGAAGUUUAGCUCCGCCCCGACUCGUUGAGAGGAAAUGUGGAACAUGAGCAUUCGAAGCAGGAGAAGAGAGCGCAAACAGGAGCUCAGACGACUGGAGCUAGAGAUGGUGAACAAACCCACUGAAGAUCUGCAUCUGCCAGAUCAGAAGGCAUGGCUCUGACAAGGACAGGACAGCGCUGAUGAGAAAGUCAAACUGGAAGAGUAAGAAUGAAGGAGAGAUUUACAGGAGAGUGAAAUGUUAUUAAGGAUUUCCUGUGAAGAAGCUCCUGACCUCUAAGGACCAAGGAGGAGAGAUGAGAUGUGGCAAGUGUCAACAAUAAAUGAUUGGAUAAAUGACUGUGGCAGCGGGGGCGUGGUCGAGCAUCAGCUGUGGACGGAGAGGAGCAGGUAGAAUCGGCAGGUAACGAGUGAUGAUUCUGAAUUGUGCAUUACCAGACCGAAUUUACUUGUGUGUCUGUUUGUGCUGUGGUGAGAGAGAGCGAGAGAGAGAGAUAGAUAGAGAGAUUGUGAUCGAGAUCUGAGCAGCACAGUACUGUGUGAAUAUACGUUCGCAGUAAAGUAAAGAUGGUUAAGUAAAUAAACAGCCCCUUUUGAGUCGUCAAGCCUCCGGUUUCUUCAUUUCCCUGUGUACAAAAAGGGAAUUGUUACAAUGACUUUUCUGACCAUAACUGCAAAAAUAAAUCUAAUCUUCUGUCCAAUCUUCACUCCAAUUGACGCGUUUUCUAUCACCAUUUGAAAUUUUUUACUUCCCCCUCAAACGCCGCAACUGCUGUUUACACAACACACAUGGUUUCUGUGACUGGAUGAUGCACGCGCUGCUCAAUUUCUGAUUGGGUGUCUGUUGCUAAGCGUCUAGCCGGAACAUUUUAACACUGCAUCACACUGUACACAUUUGGCACCACAUAAGCAGUGCUAACCCUGCUUUGGAGCAGGGUUCCUAACCCUGGGUAAACUGCUAUCCCCGCUUAUAAAUUAACAGAGUGAAAUCCAGGAUUAAAAGCGGGGUUUAGAAAGAUGAUAACCCGGGGUUAAGUGUAGUGUGAAAAGCCCUUUAGAACAAUAAACUCCAUGUUUUACUUUUUAUGUCCUAUGAAAGGAGGGUUUUUAUUUAUAUAAAAAUAAUUCAGGCUUAAGUUACAGUAGACAAAAACAAUCUAAAUUAAAGCUGCAAGCAGCGAUGAAUGGGCCCUUGCACCCUGGUGCACAUUGGGCCUGCUGUACCAGGGGAACACCAUUCCAUUUUUUUUACAUUCACUUCUGACGCGAAUGCAAAUUUUCAGGGGGUCUUCGAGUAUGUUUAGGCCCUCUAAAAUGCGAUUCAAAGGACUAUAUAAUAAAAAAUAAUAAAUAAUAAACAGAGGAACGGGGAAAAAUAAUAAAUGGAGCAGAUACAAUAGGGUCCUCACAUCAUCGGUGCUCGGGCCCUAAAGAUGCAGGACAUUUCUUUCAGUGACGACGCAAGAUAAAGCCAUUUGCAAUCCUCUUUGUAAACAGUCAUGUUCUCAUCAGUGAUGAAUAAAUACAGCACUAAUUUGCUGACAUCAAUCUACAACAUACUCACAUUUUCAGCUUUUCCGAGCAAAAAAAAUAAGAAACCAUAAACAGUUUGCACUUAGGAGACAAUGUAAUCCAUUCUGUUGCUGUCUCAUUUUGUAUUUACAGACCAAUAAAAAACACACCACAAGCCAAAUCUAUUUUGAUAUUACUGGAGAACAAGUAUGACUGUAUUGGUCUUAGUGGGAUCAACACCAUUACAAUUCAAUCUCUAAAAAAAAUAUACUGAAUAAACACUUUCGCUACCAGUGUGACAUUCUAUAUGGCCCUCGAAAACAAACUUUGAUCUUUAUGCAAUGAAUAAAAUAACAUCACAGCACGUAGCAGGUAUAUGCUAUUGGACAGAAUAACAGUACUUGGUGUCUGCUUCUGUGAGGUGAUUAAUUCUCCAAUGCUUUAGUGAUGGAGCAUUACAUACACAUUUUCACCCAGAUGGACUGACAUGUAAAGAAUGUCAUUGUGCUCAUACAAUUAAACAAUUAUGCUCUGGUCUGCAUUGCAUAGAUACAGUCCUGAGUGACAGAGCAUCUCUUGGGAAAUGGGUCAGUGGACCCCAGAAGAGUGACUAUGCCUCCAUACGCUCAUCUGCUAAAAAAGUAACUUAACAUUUAGAGACUGUGCGAAGCAUUAUUAUUCACAUUAAUGCACUUCUGAUUUUGUUUGCAUUGUGAGUCAAGGGGAGGAAUAAAUGCUAAACAUUUAGAUUUGCCUGCCUGGGUACAAAGACAUAAAAUAGAUAGAAAGUCUUAAUGGAUUGACAGCAGCAACAUAUUUCCAUUGAUCAUGCUGAAAGAAUCAAUAAUAUUCCUUUUAAGACAGUGUUGUACAUUCUUCAGCUUUUCAAGCUUCAGUAAUGUUUCAUUCACUGAACGCAUAUACCUUUCGGCCAAAUUAUGCAAUAAAAAAAAUUCUCCACAUGUAUAGCUACUAAAUAUUUGAUAAUAAACUGACCUAUAUGUUAAUGUGAUUUGGUAGUGUGCUGUAAGUGAGGGAUGAACACAGAGAGAGCAUUGUUCCUGUCCUGCUGUCAUAGAGAAUAGUCACUAGAGUUUAGCAAAGGCAAACUGUACAAAGUCCAAGAGCAGCUGGGGUAUGUGUGUGUACUAAACACGGAGACCUGGGCUUACCACAGCUCAACUGUGACUAACAGCAAGACAACUAAAAAAAGCAUGCAUAUUUCUAUAAAAAUUCUAGUAUUCUGUGUCUAAAGCUUUGUAGUUUAGAUAAGAAGUUUAAUUCCAUGAGUCUUGGCUAAUCUGAAGCAAUGAACAAUACAUGGAGGGAAUGUGUAGAACUGUUAGUGUAAUAAACUGACCUAUCUGAGCCCCAGCUUCCACUGAAUGAAUAUCCAAACAUUCAUAAAUCCAGCAUGAUAAUGCACUGAGUCACAAAGAAAAAGUCAUCCCAAACUGGGUUCCUGAACAUGACAAUGAGUUCAGUGCUCUUCAGUGGCCUUCCCAGUCACUGGCUCUGAACUCAGUAGAACAGCUUUGGGAUGAGGUAGAACGGGAGAUUCCCAGCAUGAAAGUACACCUGAAAAAUCUGCAGGGAUUGCGUGAUGCAAUCAUGUCAACAUGGACCAGAAUCUCAAGGAAUGUUUCCAAAAUCUUGUGGAAUGAUGAAGAACUGAGGCUGUUUCGAGAGCAAAGGGAGGCCCUAUCCAGUGUUAGUAUAGUGUUCCUAAUAAAGUGCUCAGUGAGUGCAGAAUUAAAGGAGGGCGUAUUGUCUUUUCCCCAUGACUGCAAGUAUGUAAUCACUCUGCAAUGUACUGUAUGUGAAUGUGAGCAGGUGUGUUUUGUCUCUGAGGCUUUAGGCAAAGUGGCACAGAACAGAGGCUCAACUAAGCAGCUGUGAGUCACCAGGGAACAACAAAAAAGGCUUUUAUUUGCUACCUGCUAUUCAGUCCUUUUUCUGAACCCUAUCUUCAGCUUUCCUCAGUGCCUACAGGGACAUGAAUCUCCUUUGGUGACCUCCAGCCUGCAAUCUCUCCUGGCUUACCGUCACUGUUCUACACCGCCAAAAUAACUCCAUAUAGGAAAAUGUGCGAUCAAAAACAGAAGACUUUUUACAUUUGGCGAUUCUGGUUUCAAAGCUAGAUAUUGGUUUGGUCUAAUUUCUAUAAUGUAGAACACAGAAUAAAAACAAGAUAAUAAUGUUAUAAAAUUAUAAAUAAAAGAAGGUUAUGGCAGUGGUGGCUCAACGAUUAAGGCUCUGAGUCACUGAUUAGAAGGUCGAGGGUACAAGCCCCAGAACUGCCAAACUGCCACUGCCCCUGCCCUCGAGCAAGGCCCUUAACCCUCUCUGCUCCAGGGGCACCAUAUCAUGGCUGACCCCACGUUCUGGCCUCAGCUUCCUAACAAGAUGGAUAUGUGGAAAAAGAAUUUGCUGUAAUUUAUGCGACAAAUAAAGGCUUCUUCUAAAAAAAUGAUGAGUGUUUUUAAUCACUCCCUUAUAGCACAGUUUAAAGUUGUCAAACACCAGUACAUGCUAGAUAUGCACAAUGAACAUGGGCCAAGAAACAGAACAAAAAACAAAAAAAACAUUUUGUACCAAAUGUUGACUGACAGUUGUGUUCAUGGGCAUAAUGAUUUGAGCAAAAAUAGUGCUUUUCAUCCAGGAGAUAUUAAAUGUGAAGGUAAAUAAAGGUGAUCCUAGAAUAAGAGGGAGAUUUAGAGGAAGAGUGAGUAAAAGAGAGAGAUGCAAUUACAUACAGGGACAGAGA